rnacentral:tRNA from 1 species
GCCUGGGUGGCUCAGUCGGUUAAGCAUCUGACUUCAGCUCAGGUCAUGAUCUCGCGGUCCGUGAGUUCAAGCCCCGCGUCAGGCU